GUGAGGAAUAUUGCGCAAUGGAGGCAACUCUGACGCAGCCAUGCCGCGUGCAGGAAGAAGGCGCUACGCGUUGUAAACUGCUUUUAACCGGGAAGAAACCCCAGGACGUGUCCUGGGUUGACGGUACCGGAGGAAUAAGCACCGGCUAACUUCGUGCCAUCAGCCGCGGUAAUACGACAGGUGCAAGCGUUAUCCGGAUUCAUUGGGUUUAAAGGGUGCGUAGGCGGAGCGUUAAGUCAGUGGUGAAAUCCUGCAGCUUAACUGUAGACUUGCCAUUGAUACUGGCGAUCUUGAGUGCGCUUGAAGUGGGCGGAAUGUGCCGUGUAGCGGUGAAAUGCUUAGAUAUGGCACAGAACACCAAUUGCGAAGGCAGCUCACUAAGGCGAUACUGACGCUGAGGCACGAAAGCGUGGGGAUCGAACAGGAUUAGAAACCCCUGUAGUCC
rnacentral:rRNA from 1 species